rnacentral:rRNA from 1 species
GACGAACGCUGGCGGCGUGCUUAACACAUGCAAGUAGAACGGAAAGGCCCUGCUUUUGUGGGGUGCUCGAGUGGCGAACGGGUGAGUAACACGUGAGUAACCUGCCCUUGACUUUGGGAUAACUUCAGGAAACUGGGGCUAAUACCGGAUAGGAGCUCCUGCGGCAUGGUGGGGGUUGGAAAGUUUCGGCGGUUGGGGAUGGACUCGCGGCUUAUCAGCUUGUUGGUGGGGUAGUGGCUUACCAAGGCUUUGACGGGUAGCCGGCCUGAGAGGGUGACCGGCCACAUUGGGACUGAGAUACGGCCCAGACUCCUACGGGAGGCAGCAGUGGGGAAUAUUGCACAAUGGGCGGAAGCCUGAUGCAGCAACGCCGCGUGCGGGAUGACGGCCUUCGGGUUGUAAACCGCUUUCGCCUGUGACGAAGCGUGAGUGACGGUAAUGGGUAAAGAAGCACCGGCUAACUACGUG